AACGAACGCUGGCGGCAGGCUUAACACAUGCAAGUCGAGCGGGCCCUUCGGGGUCAGCGGCGGACGGGUGAGUAACGCGUGGGAACGUGCCCUUCGCUCCGGAAUAGCCCCGGGAAACUGGGAGUAAUGCCGGAUACGCCCUUUCGGAGUGGAUCCGUUGGGGGAAAGAUUUAUCGGGGAAGGAUCGGCCCGCGUCGGAUUAGGUAGUUGGUGGGGUAACGGCCCACCAAGCCGACGAUCCGUAGCUGGUUUGAGAGGAUGAUCAGCCACACUGGGACUGAGACACGGCCCAGACUCCUACGGGAGGCAGCAGUGGGGAAUCUUGGACAAUGGGGGCAACCCUGAUCCAGCCAUGCCGCGUGAGCGAUGAAGGCCUUAGGGUUGUAAAGCUCUUUCAGCGGGGAAGAUAAUGACGGUACCAGCAGAAGAAGCCCCGGCUAACUCCGUGCCAGCCGCCGCAGUAAAAC
rnacentral:rRNA from 1 species